CAGUAGCCGCGGUAAUACGAAGGGGGCUAGCGUUGUUCGGAAUUACUGGGCGUAAAGCGCACGUAGGCGGAUAUUUAAGUCAGGGGUGAAAUCCCAGAGCUCAACUCUGGAACUGCCUUUGAUACUGGGUAUCUUGAGUAUGGAAGAGGUUAGUGGAAUUGCGAGUGUAGAGGUGAAAUUCGUAGAUAUUCGCAGGAACACCAGUGGCGAAGGCGGCUAACUGGUCCAUAACUGACGCUGAGGUGCGAAAGCGUGGGGAGCAAACAGGAUUAGAUACCCGUGUAGUCCCUGUCUCUUAUAC
rnacentral:rRNA from 1 species